AGUGCUGUAGCUCAAUGGUAGAGCAUCUGCUUUGCAUGCAAAAGGUCCCAGGUUCAAUUCCCAGCAUCUCUA
rnacentral:tRNA from 1 species